AGCGGGUUGGAGGAGUUCGGUCACCUUGCGGGCCUCAUAAGCCUGAGACACGGGUUCAAAUCCCGUACCCGCCACGA
rnacentral:tRNA from 1 species